ensembl:lncRNA
AUUUUAUUUUGUACUUUUAUAGGAAGCACAUAUUGCACAUCUCAGUUAUGACAACUAAAAUCACUCAACGUAAUGUAAAAAACAUUUACACAAGUAAGUAUGCGUUGGCAUACACAUUCUCCCUCUAUACAAAGGAAUAAUACCAUCAACACCUGGCAACAUGGUCUCUAGUGACCAGUUUGAAGGAGUCUAAAGGCUUACGGCGUUAAACGUAGAUGUAGGGCGUAUUUGUGGACCAAUGAGAUCACGGCGUAUAUGGUUUCACAUCUCCCAUCCCCUCCAUAAUCUCCACUUCACGUGGUGUGAAAGCACCCAAAAGAACACAACAUUUAAAGUCCUUUUCCAUCUGAAGGAGGUUUUUCAAUUGGUCCAUUACUACAAAGCAUGUCGAAACACACACACACGCGUUGUCUCAUGUGUGUGUCCCCUUGUUACUAGCAGCAAAGUGGUGCCACGUCCUCGGCGGGUGAGGGGAAGAGCCGCAUGGCCUCCCUGGAGGACCUGCUGUAGCCGUUAUGGAAAAUCAAGGCCUUCUUCACUGUGAAGAAGGAGACGGUCUUGUCCCACACCUCGGAGCUGCCGACCCCCGUGUGGCUCUGCACUGCUGAGCGGAGCCUCGCUGCUCUGUCUGCGCACUUCCUCUCCAGAACCAUCAUCUUACACAUUCUGAGGAGAAAAGGGGGGGGGGAAACGUCAGAUUAAUGCUGAAUACACAGAAAAGACGCCAGUUUCAAAUAUAUCCGUCUGCAGAAACACUUCUCGACUGGAAUGCUCGGUCCUGCUGCUGCAUGCGUAAUGCUCCCAUCAUUGAUCGUCAAACAGCAACUGUCUUCCCUGAACUAGCGUCCCUGCUGGUUUAUGUAGCCUCCAUUAAUAAGAAGCACCACCCAGAAAAGGGUUUCUUGGUGGGCUGCCAUCAAACAUUCGCCUCCAUCGUCUCCAUGUUCGUGAAGGACUUAAAGAAAGUUACAGAAAUCUCAAAAACUGGUAAUCACCAACAACAACGAUCAAAUGGAACCCGUGUCAUUCGUUUUCCUGAUGAAUGUACGAAUGAAAACCUCACUUUAACCCCAGAUGACCCCGAAUGAGACAGACGUUGCCAAAUUGCCAAAUGAACUUCUUCCCCAUGUGAGUUCUCUCCAUUUGAGCUUACGUGGUGCGCUGGUCCCUCAUGGUGAAUACGAGUCAGCGGACGUCCA